rnacentral:rRNA from 1 species
UGGGGAAUAUUGCACAAUGGAGGAAACUCUGAUGCAGCGACGCCGCGUGGGUGAUGAAGGCCUUCGGGUUGUAAAGCCCUGUCGGCUGGGAACAAGUUAGUCGUGCUCAUACCACGAUUGAUUGAGUGUACCAGCAAAGGAAGCACCGGCUAACCCUGUGCCAGCAGCCGCGGUAAUACAGGGGGUGCUAGCGUUGUUCGGAAUUACUGGGCGUAAAGGGCGCGUAGGUGGCUUUACCAGUCAGGAGUGAAAUCCCGGAGCUUAACUCCGGAAUUGCUUUUGAAACUGUAAGGCUAGAGUAUGUUAGAGGAUGGCGGAAUUCCUAGUGUAGAAGUGAAAUUCGUAGAUAUUAGGAAGAACACCGGUGGCGAAGGCGGCCAUCUGGGACAUAACUGACACUGAGGCGCGAAAGCGUGGGGAUCAAACAG